GGGGGUGUAGCUCAUAUGGUAGAGCGCUCGCUUUGCAUGCGAGAGGCACAGGGUUUGAUUCCUUGCACCUCCA
rfam:Ipomoea nil DNA, scaffold: scaffold3030, cultivar: Tokyo-kokei standard.